ACAGCAGCCGCCGCGGUAAUACAGAGGGUGCGAGCGUUAAUCGGAUUUACUGGGCGUAAAGCGUGCGUAGGCGGCUUUUUAAGUCGGAUGUGAAAUCCCUGAGCUUAACUUAGGAAUUGCAUUCGAUACUGGGAAGCUAGAGUAUGGGAGAGGAUGGUAGAAUUCCAGGUGUAGCGGUGAAAUGCGUAGAGAUCUGGAGGAAUACCGAUGGCGAAGGCAGCCAUCUGGCCUAAUACUGACGCUGAGGUACGAAAGCAUGGGGAGCAAACAGGAUUAGAGACCCCUGUAGUCCCUGUCUCUUAUAC
rnacentral:rRNA from 1 species